UACAGUAAGGCUCAGGACAGGGAGUAACUGCUGUUGCCACAGCACAGAUUAGAUCUGUGAAAAGCUUCUGAGCUGCUUCUCCAACCAGGGAGGCACAGCAGCAAGUUGAAGGGCAGGUAGGAAAUGUGGUUUUCCCUCACCUAAUGUACAGUCAUGGAACACCCAGGCUGUAGCAGCACUUUGUCUCCAGGGAGCUGACAGCUCCAUUCUGCUAAAUAAUUUCAUGCUUUAUUUAACAAGAGUUUGUAUUUGUUUGCAGAAGAUCAGUAACAUUUCCUGACAAGCUGAGCCAACAAAGGUGACAGUGGACUUCCUUAACAACCAAGAAGCAGCAGAAGGAAGAUGGUUCUGGAGCAGAUCUCACAAAUGGCCAUUGAUAGAUCAUUGGAAACAGUGUGAAAUGGCCACCAGUGCAUAACUGCAGGCUUCUCCUCACUGCAGCCCCAUCCUGGGUAAGUUCCCAGUAAAGCCAAAGAGGAUUUGGGUGCUAAUGCCAUUGGCCGUGUGGGCAGCAAUUUUUGUCUCCUGAAACCUGAAUUCUCGAUUAAAUACUGCAGAUGAGGAGCUCUUCAGCUGACAGUUGCUCUGCUCUGACACUGUCUUUUUUCACCUAGGACCCGAUUUGCAGCUGGCAGGAGGAAGAAGUGGUUCCCUGCUGUUUUUGUUCCAGAAUAAAGCAAGUUGUGGAAAAUCU